GUCUCGAAAUAAUUUAUAUAAUAAUAUAACAUACUAAUAAUUAAUAAUGAAAAUAAUGAUGGUUUUCUGUGAAUAUAUUCCACAACGUUACUAUAGUUAAUUACCGUAAAUAUUAGAAAGCCGGGUUUGACCGUCGGCGUUGUAUGAGCUACAGUACAGUACCGUUAUCUAUCUAGAUAACGUUAUGUCCUAACUAGGCACAACUAGGUUUGGAUUAUUUCCCUGAACUAUAUUCUUUCCCAUAUAUUGUAUAUCGUUUCCAUAAUGCCAACAUGGCUUUACACUCAUCAAUGUAAGUUUCCAAUCUAGAGCAGUUCUCACUUAUGUGAUAAAGAACUCGCUAACUUCACGAACUAAGGACGGUGACCUGUCCAGACGAGAUGUUACAACGAACUGAAUCGUCAGUGGAGGUCUUCCUCUUUAUAUAGCCUGCUACAGCAUGCAAUACCAUUAAAAUACAAGGGGGCAUAACAUUACAUGGACAAUACUAUCCUAUUUUGGAAACGUUACAUGUACAAUACUAUCCCAUUUUGGAAACGCCACCAGACUGUUAAACAGCCACCACUAACAUUGAGUGGCUGAUGCCAACACACUGACUCAACUCCAGCCACUUUAAUAAUGGGAAUUGGUGGAAAAUAUAUCACUAGCCACUUUAAACAAAGCUACUUAAUAUAAUGUUUACAUACUCUACAUUACUCAUCUCAUAUGUAUAUACUGUACUCGAUACCAUCUACUGCCAAUAUACCAUCUACCAUCUACUGCCUCGAUACCAUCUAUCUUGCCAAUGCCGUUCUGUACCAUCACUCAUUCAUGUAUUUUUAUGUACAUGUUCUUUAUCCCUUUACACUUGUGUGUAUAAGGUAGUAGUUUUGGAAUUGUUAGGUUAGAUUACUCGUUGGUUAUUACUGCAUUGUCGGAACUAGAAGCACAAGCGUUUCAAUACACUCGCAUUAACAUCUGCUAACCAUGUGUAUGUGACAAAUACAUUUUAUUUGAAACCAUUUAACCUACAUAACAGUCAAAACAAACUGAAAUCUAUUAGCAUAUAAAUGUGUUCAAAUUAUCUUUUCAGAUCUUCUCAGAAAUGACUCAAGUCCAUGGAAUGGAUAUAGACAAAAAGAUAAUUCAAGGACUAGCAGAGGUAGAGAGGCGAGGCAGGGGUGAGGACAUCAUCCUGCUAUUUUGACAGUCCCUGAAUGACAAUACAGAAGAGGACUGGAGACCACAGCAGCGAUCCUGCUCUUGCCCAACAUCUUCAAUGAGGACCCGAGUGGCCUUUAUGUCCGUGACAAGAUUUCACCGCUCUUCACUCCUUUACUGCACAUCGGUGGAAAUCCAUUUCACCAUGAGAGUGAAAUCCCACUGGCCUUUGAUGGGGAGAACAUCCACACCCUCGAGGACAUCUCCAUGGGACUUGGGGCUCUGCUACGCCUGGAUUUUUUAUUUUCCCUUAAAUUUCCCCAAAAUGUCAGAAAAACACUUAUGUUGAUAAGUUACUGAUACUGAUACUGAUAAGUAAAUGUAUCAUUUAUUAUGGUCUGACAUGUCUGCAGAAA